AGAUUGAACGCUGGCGGCAGGCCUAACACAUGCAAGUCGAGCGGUAGAGAGGUGCUUGCAUCUCUUGAGAGCGGCGGACGGGUGAGUAAUGCCUAGGAAUCUGCCUAGUGGUGGGGGAUAACGUUCGGAAACGGACGCUAAUACCGCAUACCGUCCUACGGGAGAAAGCGGGGGACCUUCGGGCCUCGCGCCAUUAGAUGAG
rnacentral:rRNA from 1 species